AGGUUCUCCCACACUAUAUAAAGCAAUAGAGGGUGCGUUUUCUCUCUCUUCAGUUCAAGCUAAAUGCAAAAGGUGGACAAACGGCAUACGAUAAACCCUGCUCAGCCCAAUAUGGCUGCAUUGCUACUGCAGAAUAGCUCAAUGGUAUCUUCUGAGCAGAUCCCAGACGGCGGAAUAACGAAUGGAUAUGCAGAAGGAGUAGUCAAUCUGAAGACUCUAAAAAAUGGGAUUCGAAUGAACCAGUGGAUGUUUUAAUUGGAGGCUUAUAACCUAGGAUGACUUGAGAAUUAACCACGGAACAUUCUGAAGGUCUCGUACCAACUGAAUGAAAUGGCAGGGGUGAUGACCCAAUCACCUUGUGAUUGAACAGCCGGUAUGGGGGUACAAGUGUGCCAAACUUAAGAUGAAAUGGCCCAAUCUAGGUCCCUUGAUGGGAAUGUCAAUCUGUAGGUAUAUCCUGAACUUUCAUUUUGGGGUGGAUAAAUCACACUUUAUUUAUCUUCAGAGGGCCUGGUAUGUUCUGAUCAAUGCUGAUACCUUUUAUGUGACUACUGGAUGAAUGAUGUCGAUAUGGGACUAAAGAUCAGAAUAAAUCCUUGGAUAUAAUGUGUGUAUAUAUCAAGAAGCUAAACUUUAUUUCAUUUGCAGGUCUUAUGACUGGCAUUGACCUACUACACUUCAAAGUUGAUAUACCCGUAAUAUGGGUUUUAAGGUACUUCUGUUUUGCCUCGUGCUAAUCAGUCAUCUGUGCAGGGUCUGGUGUGUUCUGAUCAAUGAUUGAUACCUUUUUAAAAUGUGACUGAUGGAUGAAACAUGCGGAUAUGGGACUGAGAUCAGAACGGCACCUUCAAAGUGUAUAUGAUACAAAUUGUCUCCAGCCACUAAAACAUUACUUUAUUCUCAGGUCUUGUGAAAAAUGAUUGAGGCCUGUCAUGCAUCAUAACAUCCAAUCACAUUGAUGUGGGAAUUCCACUAACGAGCUGCUGCUCGAAAAAUGGAUAAGGCCUACAUCCUAAUGAGUGAAGCUAAAUAAUACCAUAUUAUCUGUGCCUUGGUGCAUCACUCACGCCCCAUGAGCCAGGUUGAGUGAAAAACAAUCCUCUCCACUUGUAAAACCCUUUUACUGCAAUAAAGAUGAAUUAACCCUGCAA